rnacentral:rRNA from 1 species
UCAAUAUAUUUUGAUUAAUUAUGUUUUAUUUAUGUUUGAUUUGUAGAUUGAAGUGUUUAGUUUAUGAAAAUGAUUUUUAAUUUAUUAAAUUUAUAGUAAAGAUUAUUGAAAUAUAUAAAGUAAUGGAUAAUAGGGAAGAAGUAUUGUAAAAGAAAGAAGUAUAGUUUAUUUAUGAAAAGAUGAAGGUUUUACCUUUUGUAUCAGGGGUAAUUAAAAUUUAAUUAUUUAUUUAUAAAAAUCUCGAAAAAGAAAGAUCUAAUUUUUAUGGUUUGUUAUUGUGUAAAUAUUAUUUAAAAAUAAGAAUUAGUUAUGAAAUGUUUGUCGUGUUUUUUGAUAUCUAGUUGUUGAGGAUAGAAAUUUAAUUUUUUGUUUGUUUAUUAUUAAAUAGGCUAAAAUUAUAAAAGGGAAAGCUUUUUAUAAAGGAGAAAAAUAUAAGAGUAGGGAAUAAUUAUAUGGUUAUAGGCUUGAAAUCAGUCAUUAAAAGAUUACGUUGUAGUUUACAUAUUUUUUAUAAAAAUAUUUAAUAAUUUUUUAUUUUAUAUACUUAAUGAAAAAGUAGAAUAUGAAUUUUUUGAAAAAAUGAUUAUAUUAGUAAAUGAUGUUGUAAAGUAGAAGUUUUAGAAUAUUAUAGUUAUUAUAAAAUAUUAUUUAUAUAAAUCAGGAAUUCGGCAAAGUUUAUUUUCACCUGUUUAUCAAAAACAUGUCCGUAUGAAAAAGUAUAAGGUCUAACCUGCCCAUUGAGUAAUUGAAAGGCCGCGGUAAUUUGACUGUGCAAAGGUAGCAUAAUCAUUAGUUUCUUAAUUAGGAACUUGUAUGAAGGGUUGGAUGAAAAGUAAUCUGUCUUAUUUAUAUAAAUUGAAUUUAAUUUUUAAGUGAAAAGGCUUAAAUAUAGGAAAGGGACGAUAAGACCCUAUAAAACUUUAUAUAAAUAAUAAUAUAUUUUAGAGUUAUAAGUUUAGUAAGUUAUAGUAUUAUUAAUAUUUUAUUGGGGCGAUAGAAAUAUAGUAAACUGUUUUUAAAUUAAUCAAAUAUUGUUGAUUUGAAUGAUCCUUAUAUAGAGAUUAAAAGGAUAAGUUACUUUAGGGAUAACAGCGUAAUCUUUUUUGAGAGUUCAUAUCAAUAAAAGGGAUUGCGACCUCGAUGUUGAAUUAAAAUUUCUUUAUGGUGCAGUAGUUAUAAAAGAAGGUCUGUUCGACCUUUAAAUUUUUACAUGAUUUGAGUUCAAACCGGUGUGAGCCAGGUUGGUUUCUAUCUUUUGUUUAGAAAAAUAAUAUUUUAGUACGAAAGGAUUAAAUAUUAAAAAUAUUUUUAGUUUUUGAGUAAUAAUAAGUAAGUUUUGGUUAUUAAAGUUUUAUUUUAUAAAAAAGGUU